ensembl:lncRNA
AUUAGAAGCAAAUUCAGUGCACACAUUAUGCAACACUCAGGCUCUUGACAAGUCUAAUUAAAUGUACUGUUUUUUCGAACUGUCACACUGCCUGCAUGACAAGCAUUACAUAUCAAAAACUACUGGAAAAAAAGUCUUACCGUUCACUCAAGACUGCUGGUAAUUUCCACUAUCGCAGGAGCUCCAGAAGAAGGACCACUACUGGGGAUCCUCGAGGAAGGAGCCUGUCGUCUUCUCUGGACGGUCCUGCGUGGAAUCCUAACACUACUUUACCAAACUCAUUUUGAAAAAUCUUUGAAACACUAACUAGAUGGCAUCUUCUUGCAUACACAGGCCAAUGUUAUUUAGCAAUACAAAAACAUUGGCCAACAGCAAACAAGGAUCCAAAUAGUUCUCCAGGGCAGACAACUCAGGCAUGCUAUACAGUUAGAAAUACAUUUUAUUAGAGCCAUUUCACAGCCUGCAGAACAAGCAUUACAUACCAAAACAAAUACCUCGAUGAAGAGCCCAGGCCUUGCCCAUCUUCUCUCCUUUGACCUGGACGGUUCUUUCACUUGAGGUUGACUGCCCAUAAUCAGCAAUUGCAGUUUAGUGUACUAAAAGACUACAGAAUACAUUGAAAAUGUAUUAAUCCACUGUCAAAAUUACAUUACAGGUGUCGAACCAGCCAUAGCAGUCUGAGAAGAGAUCACAAGCAAUUAGUAAAGAUCAACAUUUCAGAAUGUACUGCUGAGCGAACGCCCUGCGGUGAAGAUGAACAGGAUCAGUCUCUCGGCAUCGCUUGGGACCGCUGGCGGUACUCUGGGAGGUGAUGAAGGAUCCAGGCAGCCGGAGUCAACAUGGCUGCUGCAAACAGCGACAUGACCAAGAAACUCUGCUGUGAGGCACAAAAGACAACCACAUGACAAAAUCAGGAUAGAAAGUACAUCUAGUUCAUUAAAAAAAACAUCCGUAGUAAUUCUGAUUGGUCAUUAACAAAACUAAAAUGAACAUGGUUGAAUUCAUUUGAAAAACAUUUUACAUGAAUAAAUCUGAAACCAGGUGCAUUCUGGGUAAACCAUAGUAGAAUGGAAAUCAUAAUGCUGCAGGUGAGUUGAGCAAUUCAUGUAGUUUAUGUUUCAUACCAUCAGAUGUAUUAUCACAUGAUAGUUUCAUAAAUUCAUACCACAUGUAAAACAGUGACAAUACCUCUGAAAAGAAAAACAUGAAAGAUUCAGUUACAAUUUGAUCUACUAAUGAUAAAAGUGACGGCCCUUGAUUUGUAGUUCAAGUGAUUCAAUUGAUCCCAUUAGGGAAUAUUAUGAUGUGUGAAGAUGAUGAACGUAUUCACAUUAUAAAUAUCAUGAACGUACGAACAUUAUGAACAUCAUAUAGGUAUAAUUAAAUUGUAGUUCAAAAGAGGCGAUGAAUCCCGAUGUCACAAAGUCAAAGGGGCUCAGACGAAGAUAAAGACAGUGAGACGGAUAAAGAGAUAGUGAGACAAAUAGUGAGACAGAUGAAGACACUCACUGCGGCUCCGAUCUUGUUUCUCGGAGGUUUACUGUAGAUCAUCUUCUUUGUCUGCUUCACUAUUUCUUUUGGUGGAGUUAAAGUCUUCAUCCUCCUCAGGACAACACUCGCCAUUGUUACCACAACAAACACACACCGUGUAAGUAAGCAACACCUGUUGAACUCUGAUUUUCUGUUUCUGAUUGACCGUUCUCUGGUGGCGAAGAUUUCACUUUGACCACUGUGGCUGGAUCGGAAGGGAGCGGUGGAGGGUAGGGAAGUGGGAGG